UGGGUGGGGCUCUUUUCUGGAGGUCCAUACCUGCAAGUAAUCCGAAAUCAACUGGCUGUCAGACCUGCAGGCAGAUGGUUUGGGCUCUCACAGUGUUACUGAUCACAAUGGACACAUCACUGCAGCAUCAGAAGAGAUACCCAAUGAAAAGAAAUCUGCACGAUACUCUCAUUUUGAUAACAUCAGACUGGCACUAUAAGGGGACUUCAAUGCUCACUGGACAACAGUGAGAUGUGGAAGGUUCAAACAACACACUAAAUAUAAAACAUACAGGAAAUGGCUUAUUUCUCCUAAGCGGACCUGCCUGAACCAAGGAAGUGGCUAACCACAUGAAACUAACGCGAUCCCGCAUGUUUAUCGCUGACGUUUGCACAGGUGAUUUUCAUGCACCAAGCCCACUCCACGUCAUAUGUGGCGACACGCUGGCAAAUGACACUUUGGAAACCUUCAAAACUGCUUCGACAUGUAGAGUUGUUCCUGGAUUUAAAAACCAAGGAAGAGUAUGACCAGAAAGCAUACUUUCAGC